rnacentral:rRNA from 1 species
CCUACGGUGUGCUGCAGUGAGGAAUAUUGGUCAAUGGGCGCGAGCCUGAACCAGCCAAGUCGCGUGAGGGAGGACGGCCCUACGGGUUGUAAACCUCUUUUGCCGGGGAGCAACGGGCGUCACGUGUGGCGCCACUGAGAGUACCCGGAGAAAAAGCAUCGGCUAACUCCGUGCCAGCAGCCGCGGUAAUACGGAGGAUGCGAGCGUUAUCCGGAUUUAUUGGGUUUAAAGGGUGCGUAGGCGGAUCGUUAAGUCAGUGGUCAAAUUGAGGGGCUCAACCCCUUCCCGCCAUUGAAACUGGCGCUCUUGAGUGGAAGAGAAGUAUGCGGAAUGCGUGGUGUAGCGGUGAAAUGCAUAGAUAUCACGCAGAACCCCGAUUGCGAAGGCGGAUUGCUGGACAGUAACUGACGCUGAGGCGCGAAAGCGUGGGGAGCAAACAGGAUUAGAUACCCCUGUAGUC